CAGCCGCCGCGGUAAUACAGAGGGUGCGAGCGUUAAUCGGAUUUACUGGGCGUAAAGCGUGCGUAGGCGGCUUUUUAAGUCGGAUGUGAAAUCCCUGAGCUUAACUUAGGAAUUGCAUUCGAUACUGGGAAGCUAGAGUAUGGGAGAGGAUGGUAGAAUUCCAGGUGUAGCGGUGAAAUGCGUAGAGAUCUGGAGGAAUACCUAUGGCGAAGGCAGCCAUCUGGCCUAAUACUGACGCUGAGGUACGAAAGCAUGGGGAGCAAACAGGAUUAGAUACCCCAGUAGUCCCUGUCUCUUAUAC
rnacentral:rRNA from 1 species